rnacentral:pre_miRNA from 1 species
UUAGGUAUUCUUCAUUUUCUUUUGAAAUUUUUCUGGGAUUCUUGUUGUUGAAUGUUAAUGAAAAUGAUAUGAAGAUGAAAAAGAGGAGAAG